rnacentral:pre_miRNA from 1 species
ACAGGAAUCAUCUGAGAACCUUGUUGCAAUGCAGGUUCUGAUUCAGAGGGUCUGGGGUGGGGCCUGAGAUUCUGCAUUUCUAACAAGCUCCCAGGUGAUGCUGAU